rnacentral:rRNA from 1 species
AGAAUCAACGCUGGCGGCGUGCCUAACACAUGCAAGUCGCACGAGAAAGGGACUUCGGUCCUGAGUACAGUGGCGCACGGGUGAGUAACACGUGAAUCAUCUACCUCCGAGUGGGGAAUAACCUAGAGAAAUCUGGGCUAAUACCGCAUAACACUUACGAGUCAAAGCAGCAAUGCGCUUGGAGAGGAGUUCGCGGCAGAUUAGUUAGUUGGCGGGGUAAUGGCCCACCAAGACGAUGAUCUGUAUCCGGCCUGAGAGGGCGCACGGACACACUGGAACUGAAACACGGUCCAGACUCCUACGGGAGGCAGCAGUGGGGAAUUUUGCGCAAUGGGGGAAACCCUGACGCAGCAACGCCGCGUGGAGGAUGAAAUAUCUUGGUAUGUAAACUCCUUUCGAUGGGGAAGAUAAUGACGGUACCCAGUAGAAGAAGCCCCGGCUAACUUCGCGCCAGCAGCCGC